rnacentral:rRNA from 1 species
GACGAACGCUGGCGGCGUGCUUAACACAUGCAAGUCAAACGGAAAGGCCCUGCUUUUGUGGGGUGCUCGAGUGGCGAACGGGUGAGUAACACGUGAGUAACCUGCCCUUGACUUUGGGAUAACUUCAGGAAACUGGGGCUAAUACCGGAUAGGAGCUCCUGCUGCAUGGUGGGGGUUGGAAAGUUUCGGCGGUUGGGGAUGGACUCGCAGCUUAUCAGCUUGUUGGUGGGGUAGUGGCUUACCAAGGCUUUGACGGGUAGCCGGCCUGAGAGGGUGACCGGCCACAUUGGGACUGAGAUACGGCCCAGACUCCUACGGGAGGCAGCAGUGGGGAAUAUUGCACAAUGGGCGGAAGCCUGAUGCAGCAACGCCGCGUGCGGGAUGACGGCCUUCGGGUUGUAAACCGCUUUCGCCUGUGACGAAGCGUGAGUGACGGUAAUGGGUAAAGAAGCACCGGCUAACUACGUG